GAUGAAGAACGUAGCGAAAUGCGAUACUUGGUGUGAAUUGCAGAAUCCCGUGAACCAUCGAGUCUUUGAACGCAAGUCGCGCCCGAAGCCAUCAGGUUGAGGGCACGUCUGCCUGGGCGUCACAUAUCGUUGCCCAAUGCCUAUUGCAGUGCAAUAGGAAUUUCUAGGGCGAAUGAUGGCUUCCCGUGAGCGUUGUUGCCUCGCGGUUGGUUGAAAAUCGAGUCCUUGGUAGGGUGUGCCAUGGUAGAUGGUGGUCGAGUUAGAACGAUACCGAUCAUGUGCAUGCUCCCCAAAAUAUGGCCUCUAUGACCCACACGCGUCUUUUGACGCUCAUGACGAGACCUCAGGUCAGGCGGGGCUACCCGCUGAAUUUAAGCAUAUCAAUAAGCGGAGGA
rnacentral:misc_RNA from 1 species